rnacentral:rRNA from 1 species
UACGGGGGGGGUAAGCGUUGUUCGGAAUUACUGGGCGUAAAGGGCUCGUAGGCGGCCAACUAAGUCAGACGUGAAAUCCCUCAGCUUAACUGGGGAACUGCGUCUGAUACUGGAUGGCUUGGAUUCGGGAGAGGAAUGCGGAAUUCCAGGUGUAGCGGUGAAAUGCGUAGAUAUCUGGAGGAACACCUAUGGCGAAGGCAGCUCGCUGGGACGUUACUGACGCUGAGACGCGAAAGCGUGGGGAGCAAACAGG